rnacentral:rRNA from 1 species
AGAGUUUGAUCCUGGCUUAGAGUGAACGCUGGCGGCGUGCUUAACACAUGCAAGUCGAACGGAUGAAAUAAGCUUGCUUAUUUCGUUAGUGGCGCACGGGUGAGUAAUGUAUAGCUAACCUGCCCUUUAGUGGGGGACAACAGUUGGAAACGACUGCUAAUACCCCAUACUCCAGCCUAUCAAAAGGUAGGUUGGGAAAGAUUUAUUGCUAAAGGAUGGGGCUUUAUGGUAUCAGCUAGUUGGUGGGGUAACGGCCUACCAAGGCAAUGACGCCUACCUGGUCUGAGAGGAUGAUCAGGCACACUGGAACUGAGACACGGUCCAGACUCCUACGGGAGGCAGCAGUGGGGAAUAUUGCACAAUGGGGGAAACCCUGAUUGCAGCAACGCCGCGUGGAGGAUGACGCAUUUCGGUGUGUAAACUCCUUUUAUAAGGGAAGAUAAUGACGGUACCUUAUGAAUAAGCACCGGCUAACUCCGUGCCAGCCGCCGC